UGCCCGUGGUUCACAGACACAGUUAGCAUCUGAUUUCCUGUAAGGAUUUCAAGGUUUCUGAUAUUUCCCACAACCAUCACUUUGGCACGUGACUAAGACGCCUUUGAAUGUUGGGAAUGUUGCUUUCUUGUAGCUGGGAUUUAGUUUUCACCUGCUCUGCAAACUCUCAACAGAGAUGAAGACGCUUCUUUGUGUCUUACACUUCUAUUUUAUUUUUCCUAAAAUAUAGUAGAUAUUCAGAGCAUGCAUCUUCCAUUUCUUUCGUCAUCAACACUCUCGUCAAGGAAAAGCUUCCACUACUCAUGUGACAGAUGAAUAUACAGAUCCCUAUAGUUAGGAGGAGCUGCCUCCUUCCCAGAGUCUCCCAGCCCCUCAAGUACUUGACUGAACUUCACAGAGGUUUAUCCAUUGUUAUCAACCAACUUAAUGAUGUCUUGAUGUAGACAGAUGUUAGCAGCUCACCUCAGCAUCCUGAGAGAUGUGGACUUGAAGACUAUGAUCAUCAACAAAAACUGAAGUUAAAGAGAAUGAACGUGGAAUUAUCAUGAAAAAAAGUAGAAAAGGAGAUCUACGGAGUUUGAAACUAAGCGAAAUAAUGGGAGUUUCUGUAGUUAGGAAGUUACUAUCACCAGGUCCAGUCCUCACUGCUGGUUCCUGGGGAGCCCCUUAGCGGAGCCUCCACCCAUUACUGAAUGUAGGCCUGUUACGUUACUAGUGACUCUACCAGAUUUUCAGGCUAAGUCCCUGUGAACAUUCAUCAAGAAAAUUUGGGAAUCAGCCGUAGGGGUCAUUUUGUGUAAAAUUAUGCCAUUACUCAAAAACAAUACUCCUCGCACAUGCAGAACACAAAAUGUUUUUGGUGAAUUUACCAUCUAAUUUGUUUUUCUGCAUUGGCAAGUCACAAGUUUAUGUUGGAAAUCCAUGAGCAUUUGUGAAAGCUGUCAAUAAGCACUUACGACUUCACAGAAUUUUUUCUAAGUGAACACGCUUUUUUGAGCACUGAAGAUCUGUUUUUUGAGCUCUAAGGAUAGGCUAUGGGUAUUGCCCUUAUAGUAUGCUUAGAAAAAUGAAGAAAAUGUAAUGAUUUAAACCAAAUUGGAAAAACGGUCACCCACAAUCUAUCUUUUACUUGCCUGCUGGUCAAUAUUAUUUACAACGUAUAAUUAAAAAGAUGUUAAGUUUCUUUAAACAUGUGCAAAAGAGGCAUAAGAUUCAUGGAGUCUGAAGGUGUGAGUGACUUAUUUAAAAUCCGUCCUGUUCCAACAGGGCAGAAAGGGCUCUUAUUAUUGUGAUGGUAUAAAACACAUGUCUUUAACCUAAAUAUCCUAAUGUUCCCUCUGUACUUAAAGUAUUAAGGGAGGCAGACUCGUUUAAUGGAACUGUUUCUUUUCAGGCAAACAGAGCUUUAUUUAGUGACUGGGUAACUCAUUAUCCAAAUCCCAGAAUUCAGUUUUCCAUGAGAGUCAGCAUUUCUGGUUUCUGAUAGUGGACUCUAAAUACAAUUCUCCUGUGCUUAUUGCUAGUGGGAGGAAAGCCACCCAGUGUGACUGCAACGUGACUUUUCUUGUCUUACAGAGUUGGAGAAGCACUUCUAAGAUAGUGUAAAGCAUUUUAAAAGAUCUGUUUUUUUUUCUCCUAUAAGCGAGUCUAGAACUUAGUUACCAAGUUUGAGAAUCGGAACCACUUGCUACCAUUCACUAAUCGUUACCGAUUUCAACUGAGAAGACGAAAUGUGAGAGUAGUGAAAAUAUAUGUGCCUGACAGCUCUUGACAGCAUGACCAUAGUGGGUCAACUUGAUUAGUGGCUUUUGUGCCACGUGAGAAUGAAAUCACACUAAAACCAGCCCCAAGAGUGUCCCGUGCUGACACAUCUGGCCAUCAUGACAGGCACUGCAGUAGGGAAGGCAGGUGGGUGUUGAUCCAUUGGUGUAAACAGUUAUGUGACACUGAUCCAAUUGCUGAUAUAGAUAUACAAUCCUGACCCCUUAUUAUCCAUUGAGUAAACAUAUAACCAUUUGGAGUGCAAUUGUGACUCCAGGAAUGUGUAAAUAAAAUAAAAAUGAGACCUGAACAGCCAAAACAGGUGUCAUGAAAGUCGUUGUGGCUGAGGGAAUCCCACUUGUGUCUCUGCAUUGGGAGGCUGCAGCACUAAGAUGCUGAGAAUGUACCGUGGUGGGCUGAGAACCAAGUAGGGGCAGCUGGAGGAAGGUUCCACUGUUGGUCAUGCCCAUAUGGGGAGCAGUCUCCCUACAGGGCCACAGGAACAGAUGGAAAAUAAAGAUUGUCCAGCAACCUGGGCUUUGGCAACAGCUUAAAUAAAUGAAUAAAAAUAACCAAGAGCAACACCAGAGGAGAACUUGCUUAUUAGGCCCUGUGUACAGCACAGGAUACCAGAACCCAGAAGAGAGGAGGGCUGGGAGAGAAGCAUGUCACGGUCAUCAAAGCUCAAAGUCCAGUGAGAGCACUCCCUGAGCUGUGUCCUGAACGUUUGAACUGCGUUUAUAUUAGCCCAGACUUUUCAACCACUGAUAAGUGUAGGAAAAUGCUGGAAUCUGAUUGGGAUGACAUUAAAGGACUGAGAAGGGAGAUUUUAGAGAGCAGGUUUGAAAACAGUGGUUAGAAAGAAAAAGAAUCCUGCUUCUAUUAUAUUAAGUAAACAAUUUAAUCUCCUACUCAACACACUUUUCUUUCCUUUUGUUUUUAUGCUGAAUGAAUGAAUGCAUGAAUGGAUGAGUUGGGCCCUUAUCACUAACUGCAGAGUUAAAUGCAUGUUUUACUACAUUUAAAACAAAAUCAAAGCUUCAAUGAGCAGAUGGUGGAAGCUUUUAUUUUCCAAGAGACAAAAAGCCCGCCUGUGCCCUUUUCCUCCCAGCAGUGAGAGGCUGGCCUCCCCAUGGGUAUAGCCAGCCUGAGCAACUCACUAGGUCUCAGGAAAACCAAUUCACAGCUUUCACAUUUUAAAAUUUUACAUAAGUUAUCAAAAAAUCUUGUUUUUCAGUAAGCUAUUUAAUUUUUGAGAAAAUACUGUUCCAAUGGCAUUUUUACUUCUGUUAAAAUUUUUAAAAAUCAAAUCCACAGUCUAAAAAGAACAAUCAACUUCUCCAAAAGGGAAAGCAACAUUGUCAAGAAUGAAAAUUUGAAAUCCCAGUACUCAGUGUUAACAUUGACAGAGCUGAAGUUCCAAGAGGAUUUGAAUUUGACAAGAAUUAAAAUGUGUCUGCUCCUUCUAUGUUACACCUUUUUAAAACAUUAUUCCAAGAAAAGCAACUGAAGCUCCAUGUGCUGUUUAUUUCAUGGCAUAGAAUAUUGGCUGUUACCAGAAUCUCAUUGUUUGAAAGAGACUUUAUUUUUCCUACUGUGAAUAUGAAAUACCUCCUUUGGGGUCAGAGGCAUACAUAAAGAUAUAUCAUUUGCCUUUUAAUGUGGCUUUCCGGUGACUGUACAGUUUGAAAUUGUUAUGUAUGCAGCCAGUCUUCCUUCCUGAAUGUUCUUGCUCUGUCCUCUGCAAAUAUGGAUGGAAAUAAUUAUAGUGAGGAUGGCUUCGUAUGAUGAUGUCACUCCAGAGAGAACCUGCACCACAGGGAGCAUUUCCAGUAAAGUACAGCAGAAACUGCAGGGUAAUCAAAGUGCAAAUUCCAAUUUAUUUAAGCAAUAUUGUUCUCGCUCCUCCAUUUCACAAAGCUGUCCUUUCUCAUUAAAUUUUUGAAAGAGAAGGAAUGAAUUUUACCAGCAGAAAUCUGAAUGCCAGUUGACCUUUUUGAAAACUCUGCAUGGAACGCUGGCAUCAGCUGUCUUUUCACACCCGUGGUGACAAAAGGUAGAAAUUGAGGCUUACAAGAAAUAAACGGAAUAUAGACAAGGCAUCAUGCCAUCCAGCGAGGCUUCUGUUUGGAAAGAAGUUUGUGUGUUUAGAGAGGAGAGUAUUUGGAGAUGGCCCAGAAGGGGCUUUGGGCAAGAUGUAGGGUUGAGGCUUUCUUUAUGUACAUCCCAGGGCCUGUCUUUGAUUGGAUCAGGUCCUAGAUGGAGGGUCCAUCUAGGCUCGUCAUUAGGUGAGGUCUUGUGUGCAGGUAGAAAAUGAGGACACAGCAAGGCCAGUUCCGUGGUGGAAGGAGAGCCGGUGCUGCCAGGUGCCCAGGAAGGACUUCACCCGGAUAUGUCAGAAAUAGUGAGGGAUGCUGCAGGUGUAAUUUGGGUCUUCAAUGAGAGAGCUGAGGAGCAAAGUCUUCAAAGCAAAGGGAUUAACACCGAGUUAAGAAAAAUACAAGGAUGAUCUGGAAUUCGGAAGGAAGGCACUUCCCUUUGGCUGGAGAGAAGGUGUGAGAAUGAGGACAGCAUCCUGCGAAAAAAAGUAAGCAAGAAUUUGUCCUUACAGAGUCUUUUACUUCUGCACUGUGUUAAACAUAGAUGCAUUUUCAUUGUAAAGGUCGGGUUAGCUAGCGACAUAAUUGCUGUUAGUCUCCCUAGCUGUGGGAUGCAGUUUUAGAAGCCCUGCAUUUCACACUCUGCACAAAAAGGUAAUAAGGGGUACAAGCCAGCCUCCAUAGUCCAUGCUCAGGUUUUAGUCUUCAUUGCUGGUCCGCUUCCAAACAUACAAUCAAAACAUCAGCUCCAGUGACUAACAUUCAGAUUUGUAUCAAUUGAUUAAAAAAUGAUCAGAUAGUAAAUCUGCAGUGCAUUCUUGCAUAACAAAAGGCAGUUUCCAAAUGGCACCAAAAGAUCCUGUGUUUACUUGUUUCUCUUUAUGUUGCUGUCUGUAGGCACAAAAGUACACAGGGAUCAGAGUGAUUUUCCAACAACGUGCCUAUUAAGGCUGAGGAAUGUUAUACAGAGUGAUUAUCCAGCAACGUGCCUAUUAAGGCUGAGGAUUAUUAUACAGUGUUAAAUC